GACGAACGCUGGCGGCGUGCUUAACACAUGCAAGUCGAACGGAAAGGCCCUGCUUUUGUGGGGUGCUCGAGUGGCGAACGGGUGAGUAACACGUGAGUAACCUGCCCUUGACUUUGGGAUAACUUCAGGAAACUGGGGCUAAUACCGGAUAGGAUCUCCUGCUGCAUGGUGGGGGUUGGAAAGUUUCGGCGGUUGGGGAUGGACUCGAGGCUUAUCAGCUUGUUGGUGGGGUAGUGGCUUACCAAGGCUUUGACGGGUAGCCGGCCUGAGAGGGUGACCGGCAACAUUGGGACUGAGAUACGGCCCAGACUCCUACGGGAGGCAGCAGUGGGGAAUAUUGCAGAAUGGGCGGAAGCCUGAUGCAGCAACGCCGCGUGCGGGAUGACGGCCUUCGGGUUGUAAACCGCUUUCGCAUGUGACGAAGCGUGAGUGACGGUAAUGGGUAAAGAAGCAACGGCUAACUACGUG
rnacentral:rRNA from 1 species